rnacentral:rRNA from 1 species
UACGUAGGCAGCGAGCGUUGUUCGGAGUUACUGGGCGUAAAGGGUGUGUAGGCGGUUGUUUAAGUUUGGUGUGAAAUCUCCCGGCUCAACUGGGAGGGUGCGCCGAAUACUGAAUGACUUCGAGUGCGGGAGAGGAGAGUGGAAUUCCUGGUGUAGCGGUGAAAUUCGUAGAUAUCAGGAGGAACACCGGUGGCGAAGGCGGCUUCCUGGACCGAUUACUGACGCUGAGGCGCGAAAGCUAGGGGAGCAAACGGG